GAACAGCAGAAAAGGAUAUGAAGCAGCGCCUGAUAGAGUUGACUGAGCUCUUGAGAAAUCGGGUGGAAUGGAGGAGAGCAACUGCGGAAAUUUUAGAAAUGGAAGUUAAAGGUUGAGAAUACGAGAGGACUGCAGAUAUAAAGGUUUUCAGCUGUAAUGGCCUACAGCUCCACUGCAGGCUUCCGUGUGGAGAAACAAAUUUGUACCAGCUUGCUGAAUAACCUCAGUAAUGUUCAGUCACUCAGAACUUCUCCAUCUGCGCUUCCAUCCAUCCAAAGAACCAGAUGCUCUAAAAAAUGCCUUAUCCACCUUGCCUGGUGUAUCAUUAUCUGAAAUAUGUUGCUACCAUAACUGCCAUUUCCAACCCUACAAGCAAAGGCAACAGCUGACCUACCUGGGGCUCUCAGUUGUUUAGUUGGUCAGGUUCAGUGUUUUCUUUACAACUUUCUGCUGCUAAAGGGAAACCUGCAAAAGGUUUUUGUAUUAUUUCCUACACACAGAGAGAAAAUUAAAUCACUAGCUGGAAGCAUUAUAACGAAAACUAAUAGAAAGCAACCAUUUCACCAAGGAGGAAGAGAAGUUCAGAGAACAGGUAGAUUUCAUCAGAAUGAGAAGCUAAGGUUUCUAUGUGUAAUUACUAUGACCUACUACUCCCAUUGGUUUUCUACACAUAGGCAUUUAGACAGGUCAAUUAUUGUAUUACUGAAAUUAGACAAUGAGAUAAUUCUAUAAACUUCCUUUCCAAACUUUUUUAUACUCCACUGACACAGGUUGCAGAAAUAUUUUUGCCAAUAACUCGAUGAUUAAACGUGAACUUGCUUCAACAGAUAUGAAGAGAUGUCCUUGAUUCUUUGUUACACAUCUGUGCAGCUCUUUUACUUCAACACAAAGAUUAAUACAUAGGAUCUGAAGCAGCAGCUAAUAAUUUUCCAAAAUAUUUGGCUAGUAACCUGAAAUUUCUUCUGAAAAUACC